rnacentral:rRNA from 1 species
CAGCAGCCACGGUAAUACGUAGGUGGCAAGCGUUGUCCGGAAUUAUUGGGCGUAAAGGGCUCGCAGGCGGUUUCUUAAGUCUGAUGUGAAAGCCCCCGGCUCAACCGGGGAGGGUCAUUGGAAACUGGGAAACUUGAGUGCAGAAGAGGAGGGUGGAAUUCCACGUGUAGCGGUGAAAUGCGUAGAGAUGUGGAGGAACACCAGUGGCGAAGGCGACUCUCUGGUCUGUAACUGACGCUGAGGAGCGAAAGCGUGGGGAGCGAACAGGAUUAGAUACCCCGGUAGUCCCUGUCUCUUAUAA